rnacentral:tRNA from 1 species
GCCGAGGUAGCUCAGUUGGUAGAGCACGGCACUGAAAAUGCCGGUGUCGCCGGUUCGAUUCCGGCCCUCGGCACCC